rnacentral:rRNA from 1 species
AACGAACGCUGGCGGCAUGCCCAACACAUGCAAGUCGAACGGACCCUUCGGGGUUAGUGGCGCACGGGUGCGUAACGCGUGGGAAUCUGCCCUGGGGUACGGAAUAACGCUUCGAAAGGAGUGCUAAUACCGUAUGAAGUCUUCGGACCAAAGAUUUAUCGCCCUGGGAUGAGCCCGCGUUGGAUUAGCUAGUUGGUGGGGUAAAGGCUCACCAAGGCGACGAUCCAUAGCUGGUCUGAGAGGAUGAUCAGCCACACUGGGACUGAGACACGGCCCAGACUCCUACGGGAGGCAGCAGUGGGGAAUAUUGGACAAUGGGCGCAAGCCUGAUCCAGCAAUGCCGCGUGAGUGAUGAAGGCCUUAGGGUUGUAAAGCUCUUUUACCCGGGAAGAUAAUGACUGUACCGGGAGAAUAAGCCCCGGCUAACUCCGUGCCAGCCGCCGCAGUAAUAC